rnacentral:lncRNA from 1 species
AGUGGUUGUUUCAUACUGCAGGUUAGUGGUUGUUUCAUACUGCAGGUUAGUGGUUGUUUCAUACUGCAGGUUAGUGGUUGUUUCAUACUGCAGGUUAGUGGUUGUUUCAUACUGCAGGUUCAAGGUUGUUUCAUACUGCAGGUUAGUGGUUGUUUCAUACUGCAGGUUAGUGGUUGUUUCAUACUGCAGGUUAGUGGUUGUUUCAUACUGCAGGUUAGUGGUUGUUUCAUACUGCAGGUUAGUGGUUGUUUCAUACUGCAGGUUAAAGGUUCUUUCAUACUGCAGAUUAAUGGUUGUUUCAAACUGCAAGUUCGUGGUUGUUUCAUACUGCAGGUUAGAGGUUGUUUCAUACUGCAGGUUAGUGGUUGUUUCAUACUGCAGGUUAGAGGUUGUUUCAUACUGCAGGUUAGAGGUUGUUUCUUACUGUAGGUUAGAGGUUGUUUCAUACUGCAGGUUAGAGGUUGUUUCAUACUGCAGGUUAGUGGUUGUUUCAUACUGCAGGUUAGAGGUUGUUUCAUACUGCAGGUUAGUGGUUGUUUCAUACUGCAGAUUAGUGGUUGUUUCAUACUGCAGGUUAGUGGUUGUUUCAUACUGCAGGUUAGAGGUUGUUUCAUACUGCAGGUUAGAGGUUGUUUCUUACCUCAGGUUAGAGGUUGUUUCAUACUGCAGGUUAGAGGUUGUUUCAUACUGCAGGUUAGUGAUUGUUUCAUACUGCAGGUUAGAGGUUGUUUCAUACUGCAGGUUAGAGGUUGUUUCUUACCUCAGGUUAGAGGUUGUUUCAUACUGUAGGUUAGAGGUUGUUUCAUACUGCAGGUUAGUGGUUGUUUCAUACUGCAGGUUAGAGGUUGUUUCAUACUGCAGGUUAGAGGUUGUUUCUUACCUCAGGUUAGAGGUUGUUUCAUACUGCAGGUUAGAGGUUGUUUCAUACUGCAGGUUAGAGGUUGUUUCUUACCUCAGGUUAGAGGUUGUUUCAUACUGUAGGUUAGAGGUUGUUUCAUGCUGGAGGUUAGUGGUUGUUUAAUACUGAAUGUUGGUGGUUGUUUCAUACUGGAGGUUAGUGGUUGUUUCAUACUGCAGGUUAGUGGUUGUUUCAUACUGGAGGUUUGAGAUUGUUUCAUACUGGAGGUUAGUGGUUGUUUCAUACUGCAGGUUAGUGGUUGUUUCAUACUGCAGGUCAUUGGUUGUUUCAUACUGCAGUUUAUUGGUUGUUUCAUACUGGAGGCUGGUGUUGGUUCAUACUGAAUGUUGGUGGUUGUUUCAUACUGCAGGUUAGAGGUUGUUUCAUACUGCAGGUUAGUGGUUGUUUCAUACUGCAGGUUAGAGGUUGUUUCAUACUGCAGGUUAGUGGUUGUUUCAUACUGCAGGUUAGAGGUUGUUUCAUACUGCAGGUUAGUGGUUGUUUCAUACUGCAGGUUAGUGGUUGUUUCAUACUGCAGGUUAGAGGUUGUUUCAUACUGCAGGUUAGAGGUUGUUUCUUACCUCAGGUUAGAGGUUGUUUCAUACUGUAGGUUAGAGGUUGUUUUAUGCUGGAGGUUUGAGGUUGUUUCAUACUGGAGUGUAGUGGUUAUUUCAUACUUCUGUUUGGUGGUUGUUUCAUACUGGAGGUUAGUGGUUGUUUCAUACUUCUGUUUGGUGGUUGUUUCAUACUGCAGGUUAUUGGUUGUUUCAUACUGCAGUUUAUAGAUUGUUUCAUACUGGAGGUUAGUGAUUGUUUCAUACUGAAUGUUGGUGGUUGUUUCAUACUGGAGGUUAGUGGUUGUUUCAUACUGGAGGUUAGUGGUUGUUUCAUAGUGCAGGUUAGAGGUUGUUUCAUACUGCAGGUUAGAGAUUGUUUCAUACUGCAGGUUAGUGGUUGUUUCAUACUGCAGGUUAGUGGUUGUUUAAUACUGAAUGUUGGUGGUUGUUUCAUACUGGAGGUUAGUGGUUGUUUCAUACUGCAGGUUAGUGGUUGUUUCAUACUGGAGGUUUGAGAUUGUUUCAUACUGCAGGUCAUUGGUUGUUUCAUACUGCAGUUUAUUGGUUGUUUCAUACUCGAGGCUGGUGUUGGUUCAUACUGAAUGUUGGUGGUUGUUUCAUACUGCAGGUUAGAGGUUGUUUCAUACUGCAGGUUAGAGGUUGUUUCUUACUGUAGGUUAGAGGUUGUUUCAUGCUGGACGUUAGUGGUUGUUUAAUACUGAAUGUUGGUGGUUGUUUCAUACUGGAGGUUAGUGGUUGUUUCAUACUGCAGGUUAGUGGUUGUUUCAUACUGGAGGUUUGAGAUUGUUUCAUACUGGAGGUUAGUGGUUGUUUCAUACUGCAGGUUAGUGGUUGUUUCAUACUGCAGGUCAUUGGUUGUUUCAUACUGCAGUUUAUUGGUUGUUUCAUACUGGAGGCUGGUGUUGGUUCAUACUGAAUGUUGGUGGUUGUUUCAUACUGCAGGUUAGAGGUUGUUUCAUACUGCAGGUUAGUGGUUGUUUCAUACUGCAGGUUAGAGGUUGUUUCAUACUGCAGGUUAGUGGUUGUUUCAUACUGCAGGUUAGAGGUUGUUUCAUACUGCAGGUUAGUGGUUGUUUCAUACUGCAGGUUAGUGGUUGUUUCAUACUGCAGGUUAGAGGUUGUUUCAUACUGCAGGUUAGAGGUUGUUUCUUACCUCAGGUUAGAGGUUGUUUCAUACUGUAGGUUAGAGGUUGUUUCAUGCUGGAGGUUUGAGGUUGUUUCAUACUGGAGUGUAGUGGUUAUUUCAUACUUCUGUUUGGUGGUUGUUUCAUACUGGAGGUUAGUGGUUGUUUCAUACUUCUGUUUGGUGGUUGUUUCAUACUGCAGGUUAUUGGUUGUUUCAUACUGCAGUUUAUAGAUUGUUUCAUACUGGAGGUUAGUGAUUGUUUCAUACUGAAUGUUGGUGGUUGUUUCAUACUGGAGGUUAGUGGUUGUUUCAUAUUGGAGGUUAUUGGUUGUUUCAUACUGCAGUUUAGUGGUUGGUUCAUACUGGAGGUUAGAGGUUGUUUCAUACUGAAUGUUGGUGGUUGUUUCAUACAGCAGGUUAGUG